AGUCUCGGGGCCAGCCCCAGUCCCCACCCCCUAGGACCCCGCCCCCUGAGCCACCCAGCCCGGCCCCCUUGGAACGCCCCACCCCCGGCGCCCUGGCCCCGCCCCCAUCCCCGCCCCCUCCCGCACCGCCGGGGGGACCUCGCCUUCCUCCGGAGCUGUGGUUCCCACAGGCUGUUGUGAGUGGCGUUUCAGCUCCGCUGCUCCCGAGUGGAGGGAUCGGGGCACCCCCUUCCGCCCUGGCUCAGUAUAUUGGGGGCGCUGACCGUGAGAGGGGCGGGAGGAGCGGGCGUCGGUCUUCGACCGUGGGCGCCAAUCUUACAGCGCCCUCUGGGCGUGGGCACCCAGCGUCCUCCAGCCCAAAUUCUGCAGGAAAGCCUCUUCCUUGAGAAGCUGCCUCAGAGAUACAGCCCUUUGGAAUGUGACAGCAACAUUGGUACAUAUGCACAGUAAAAGAACACCUCAAUUUCAACUGGCCCUUUGGCCAUCCAAAAUGAAGAUUCUCUUUCCCAGCAUCGCCACAGCUCUAUGUAGCUGCCUGAUGACGGGACAUGAGCAGAGAUGGUCGUACGUACGUUCAGGGAACGAGCAGAGAUGGUUGUACAUACGUUCAGGGAGCGUCAAAGGGAAGGACAGUUCCUUCUUUCCUUUUUUCUUUCCUCUUGGUAGGGAUGCAGAUAUGGCUACAGCUGGAGCAGUCAUCUUGGACAGGAAGUGAACUUGAGAACAGAGACCAUGCCUGGCAGAGGACCAGGUUAGGAGCAUCAGGUGCCCAGCCAGUGAGGCGGCACACCAGCCUUGCCCUGCCCAUGCACACGUGUGGAUGAUGGACCUCUGCGUUGCUUCAAAAACUGUUAUCCUGGAUUUUCCACCCCUUGCCAGAGAAUCUAACUCUGACAAUACUCUGGUCAAUUUGGCCUCCUGCAUGCAACCCAAGAGAGUGUGGGGAGGACAGUUAUGUGGGGGGAGGAGGGAGACGGGGGUUGUUCCAAAGAUGCUGUCCAUGAUACGACCCCACCAGCUCCCCAGUGCUGGACUGUCUUAAAUUUUGGAUUUGACUCAAGUCACCUAACAACCUCGGUCCCCAAAAGAAGUCUUGAUGAGAAAUAGGCUGUUCACACGAUGGGGUGUUUUCAGAAUCUGAAGCCCAUACAGACUGUUCUGCUCACACUGCUGGGGACCAUGCUCAGCAGGUGGCAGGCAUGCAGAGGGGGCUCC